rnacentral:misc_RNA from 1 species
CAUCUAUCAGACAGUUUGCUGUCUGCAUUGGGCUCCUCGCUAUGCUUGUCACAGCGGAGCUCUAAGAUUCGUCUCGCAGAGUGCAUCGACUCGACUCUUGGGAGAGAUCCUGGGUUGUUGUCGAUCGCUGCGGUGACAUGGUAGCUGGGACUUGACUGAACGUCUUGAAAGCACCGCCAAAUUAUAACU